ACAUCUCAUGUCUAUAGAGAGGUCCAGCCCCCCGAUGCAACUUGCCCACUGUAUCCAGCUGAGACAAAUCAACAUCAGAAAGACCUUAGCAGCUCUACUACGGUGGAAGACCUAUUGACUCAAUAUUGGUUAAUCAGGUCUUAAUGUUUGCAACUUGAGCUCUUCAUAAGAGGUAAUCGAACAAUUGGCCAGGUAAGCAGGUGGGAGGCUCCC
rnacentral:lncRNA from 1 species